UGCUCCUUGAUUCAGCGGCGGACGGGUGAGUAAUGCCUAGGAAUCUGCCUGGUAGUGGGGGACACGUUUCGAAAGGAACGCUAAUACCGCAUACGUCCUACGGGAGAAAGCAGGGGACCUUCGGGCCUUGCGCUAUCAGAUGAGCCUAGGUCGGAUUAGCUAGUAGGUGAGGUAAUGGCUCACCUAGGCGACGAUCCGUAACUGGUCUGAGAGGAUGAUCAGUCACACUGGAACUGAGACACGGUCCAGACUCCUACGGGAGGCAGCAGUGGGGAAUAUUGGACAAUGGGCGAAAGCCUGAUCCAGCCAUGCCGCGUGUGUGAAGAAGGUCUUCGGAUUGUAAAGCACUUUAAGUUGGGAGGAAGGGCAGUAAGCUAAUACCUUGCUGUUUUGACGUUACCGACAGAAUAAGCACCGGCUAACUCUGUGCCAGCAGCCGCGGUAAUACAGAGGGUGCAAGCGUUAAUCGGAAUUACUGGGCGUAAAGCGCGCGUAGGUGGUUCGUUAAGUUGGAUGUGAAAGCCCCGGGCUCAACCUGGGAACUGCAUCCAAAACUGGCGAGCUAGAGUAUGGUAGAGGGGUGGGUGGAAUUUCCUGUGUAGCGGUGAAAU
rnacentral:rRNA from 2 species